rnacentral:rRNA from 1 species
UACGAAGGGUGCAAGCGUUAAUCGGAAUUACUGGGCGUAAAGGGUGCGUAGGCGGUUCGUUAAGUCUGUCGUGAAAUCCCCGGGCUCAACCUGGGAAUGGCGAUGGAUACUGGCGAGCUAGAGUGUGUCAGAGGAUGGUGGAAUUCCCGGUGUAGCGGUGAAAUGCGUAGAGAUCCGGAAGAACACCGGAGGCGAAGGCGGCUGGCUGGGCCUGAUCUGACGCUGAGGUGCGAAAGCGUGGGGAGCGAACAGG